GUGGCUAUAGCUCAAUUGGUAGAGUCCCGGAUUGUGAUUCCGGUUGUUGCGGGUUCAAAUCCCGUUAGCCACCCCA
rnacentral:tRNA from 1 species